UUUAAAGUUACUAAGGGCAUACGGUGGAUGCCUUGGGUUUGAGAGGCGAAGAAGGACGUGAUAAGCUGCGAUAAGCUUCGGGAAGUGGCACAUACACUCUGAUCCGAAGAUUUCCGAAUGGGGCAACCCUCCAUACUGAAGGUAUGGAAUUCUGCGCAAGCAGAAAGCUAACCGGGAGAACUGAAACAUCUAAGUACCCCGAGGAAGAGAAAACAAUCUAGUGAUUUCCCGAGUAGUGGCGAGCGAAACGGAAACAGCCCAAACCCUGAAGGUUUACUUUCAGGGGGUUGUAGGACUGCAAUAUUGACUUAAGAUUCCCAGCAGAAGCAUCUGGAAAGUUGCACGAUACAAGGUGAUAGUCCUGUAAGCGUCAGAAUCUUAUACAUAGCAGUAUCCUGAGUACCGCGGGGUCGGAGACGCCCUGUGGGAAUCUGCCAGCACCAUCUGGUAAGGCUAAAUACUCCUCAAACACCGAUAGCGCACUAGUACUGUGAAGGAAAGGUGAAAAGAACCGCGAACAGCGGAGUGAAAUAGAACCUGAAACCGUAUGCUUACAAGCGGUCAGAGCACCUUCGUGGUGUGAUGACGUGCCUUUUGCAUAAUGAUCCUACGAGUUGCUCGUCACUGGCAAGGUUAAUCCCGUUAACGGGAGGAUCCGUAGCGAAAGCAAGUCUGAAUAGGGCGAAAGUCAGUGGCGGCAGACGCGAAACCUUGUGAUCUACCCAUGAGCAGGAUGAAGUGGCGGUAACACGCCAUGGAGGUCCGAACUGAUAAGCGUUGAAAAGCUUCCGGAUGACUUGUGGGUAGGGGUGAAAGGCUAAUCAAACUGGGAGAUAGCUCGUACUCCCCGAAAUGCUUUUAGGAGCAGCGUUGGUCUUAGUCAUAUAGAGGUAAAGCUACCGAUUGGGCUAGGGGGCUUCAUCGCCUACCAAACCCUGACGAACUCUGAAUGCUAUAUGAUAUGUCCAGCAGUGAGGCAGCCGAUGAUAAGGUCUGUUGCCGAGAGGGAAACAACCCAGACCAUCAUCUAAGGUCCCAAAGUCUAUGUUAAGUCACACAAACGAUGUCCGAUUGCUAUAACAGCCAGGAUGUUUGCUUGGAAGCAGCAAUCAUUUAAAGAGUGCGUAACAGCUCACUGGUCGAGUGAUCGGGCGCGGAAGAAUAACCGGGUGUCAAACAUAGCACCGAAGAUAUGGAUUGCAGCAAUGCACUGGUAGGGGAGCAUUCCAACAACUGCGAAGGAGUGCCGUAAGACACUCUGGAGUUUUUGGAAAAGAAAAUGUAGGAAUAAGUAACGAUAAACAAGGUGAAAAACCUUGUCGCCAUAAACCUAAGGGUUCCUGAUCAACGUUAAUCGGAUCAGGGUUAGUCGGAUCCUAAGGACCAGCCGAAAGGCGACCUCCGAUGGAAAAGCAGUUAAUAUUCUGCUACUUGCUUAAAUUUCGAUGGGGCAACGGAGAAGUGAAAGUCAUGCGUUCUUACGGAUAUGAACGCUUAAGUACGUAGGUAUAUCUUCAGUAGGAAAAUCCGCUGUUGAUGCUGAAAUACGAGUAAUAACAGAGCUGCAAAGCAAUGGAAAUGACCUAAUCAUACUCCCAAGAAAAACCUCUAAGGCUAGGCUUAAGCAAUCCGUACCGUAAAUCGACACAGAUGGGUGAGAAGAAUAUUCUAAGGCGCUCGGGUGAGCCGCGGCUAAGGAAUUCGGCAAAAUUGUCCUGUAACUUCGGGAGAAAGGACCCUCAGCAAUGAGGCGCAGUGAAAAGGCCCAGGCGACUGUUUAACAAAAACACAGGACUCUGCUAAAUCGAAAGAUGAUGUAUAGGGUCUGACACCUGCCCGGUGCUGGAAGGUUAAGAAAGGAGGUCAGCGCAAGCGAAGCUUCCGAUUGAAGCCCCAGUAAACGGCGGCCGUAACUAUAACGGUCCUAAGGUAGCGAAAUUCCUUGUCGGGUAAGUUCCGACCUGCACGAAUGGUGUAACGAUCUGGGCACUGUCUCAGCCGCGAGCCCGGUGAAAUUGAAGUAUCGGUGAAGAUGCCGAUUACCCGCAACGGGACGGAAAGACCCCAUGCACCUUCACUACAACUUCGCAUUGAAUUUGAUUAAAUGAUGUGUAGGAUAGGUGGGAGACUUUGAAGUGGUGGCGCCAGCCAUCAUGGAGUCAACCUUGAAAUACCACCCUUCCUUUGAUUAGAUUCUAACCUUAGAAUAAGGGACACUGCGUGGUGGGUAGUUUGACUGGGGUGGUCGCCUCCCAAAUUGUAACGGAGGCUUCCAAAGGUACGCUCAGUACGCUUAGUAACCGUACGUAGAGUGCAUUGGCACAAGCGUGCUUGACUGUAAGACAAACAAGUCGAGCAGGGACGAAAGUCGGGCAAAGUGAUCCGGUGGUUCCGCAUGGAAGGGCCAUCGCUCAUAGGAUAAAAGGUACGCUGGGGAUAACAGGCUGAUCUCCCCCAAGAGCUCACAUCGACGGGGAGGUUUGGCACCUCGAUGUCGGCUCGUCACAUCCUGGGGCUGGAGAAGGUCCCAAGGGUUGAGCUGUUCGCUCAUUAAAGUGGCACGCGAGCUGGGUUCAGAACGUCGCAAGACAGUUCGGUCCCUAUCUGUUGCGGGCGUUAGAAAUUUGAGAGGAGCUGACUCUAGUACGAGAGGACCGUGUCGGACGAACCUCUGGUGUACCUGUUGUAGUGCCAACUGCACCGCAGGGUAGCUAUGUUCGGAAGGGAUAAGCGCUGAAAGCAUCUAAGUGCGAAGCCCACCUCAAGAUGAGAUUUCUUUUAAGGGUCGUAGAAGAUUACUACGUUGAUAGGUCGCAGGUGUAAAGUUGGUAACAACAAAGCCGAGCGAUACUAAUUGCCCGUUUACUUUAUCUU
rnacentral:rRNA from 1 species